rnacentral:rRNA from 1 species
UCGCCUGUUNUUUCAAAAACAUCGCUCUUUGCCUUACAUAAUAAAGAGUCGAGCCUGCCCAGUGAAUAUUUUUAACGGCCGCAGUACCCUGACUGUGCGAAGGUAGCAUAAUAAUUUGCCCUAUAAUUGAGGGCUGGAAUGAAUGGUUUGACAAGAAUACGACUGUCUCUAAUAAAUUUACUAAAAAUUAUUCUAUAAGUGAAGAAACUUAUAUAAAAUUAAAAGACGAGAAGACCCUUUUGAGCUUAAAAUAAACUUUAAAAUAUUUAAACUUUUCUUUGGUUGGGGCGACCUAGGAACAGCUUUAUCUUCCUAAAUUACUGAAAAUUGAAAAUAUUGAUCCAUUAAAAUUGAUUAACUGAAUAAGCUACCAUAGGGAUAACAGCGUAAUUUUCUUUAAGAGCCCAAAUCGAAAAGAAAGUUUGCGACCUCGAUGUUGGACUAAAAUAUCCUAAAAAUGCAGCAGUUAUUAAAGGUUGGUCUGUUCGACCAUUAAAAUUUUACGUGAUCUGAKUCNAGACCGGA